GAUGAACGCUGGCGGCGUGCCUAAUACAUGCAAGUCGAGCGAACAGACGAGGAGCUUGCUCCUCUGACGUUAGCGGCGGACGGGUGAGUAACACGUGGAUAACCUACCUAUAAGACUGGGAUAACUUCGGGAAACCGGAGCUAAUACCGGAUAAUAUAUUGAACCGCAUGGUUCAAUAGUGAAAGACGGUUUUGCUGUCACUUAUAGAUGGAUCCGCGCCGCAUUAGCUAGUUGGUAAGGUAACGGCUUACCAAGGCAACGAUGCGUAGCCGACCUGAGAGGGUGAUCGGCCACACUGGAACUGAGACACGGUCCAGACUCCUACGGGAGGCAGCAGUAGGGAAUCUUCCGCAAUGGGCGAAAGCCUGACGGAGCAACGCCGCGUGAGUGAUGAAGGGCUUCGGAUCGUAAAACUCUGUUAUUAGGGAAGAACAAAUGUGUAGGUAACUAUGCACGUCUUGACGGUACCUAAUCAGAAAGCCACGGCUAACUACGU
rnacentral:rRNA from 1 species